rnacentral:tRNA from 1 species
GAAUUGCAAAUUCGAAGACGUACCCAAAAGG